ACUCCGUGCCCCCACACGGCCACACCCCUCCCUCCCAAUCUCGGGUGAGGUCGCCGCCGUACAGAGAAGAGAGAGACGAUGGAAAAUGGCAACCAUGGGCUGGGCGCUGGAGUGAGUCGCCAAUUAGCACAUCUCUGUUGAGGUCGAGCCACCCAGAUCACUACAAACUCCAAAUCUCGCAUCCAAAACAAGAGAUCAUGGCGAUAGCGACAUUGGAUGUCCCCGUGAUCAAGGCAAAAAAUCUCACCAGCGAUGUUAGGUCCAUCCUCUACAGGUAUGUGUCUCUCCCCCUUCUGUGCAUCCCCUACUUUUGAUGGGUUCGCUUACUUCAGAAAUUGGGAGAAGAAGGAGGCUUGCCAAUUGCAAACUAUUGCUCCAUAUCACGCAGGCAUUAAGGCUCCCCUGAUCUCGUUCUUGUGGAACUGGAACAUCGACCUUGCAUGAUCUCGACGUAGAGUAAUCCAACUGGUCCGCUUGCCGGAUACAUGCCGAUUCAACAAGUGUAUCGGGCACGCUACUGUUCAAUACCAUCCUCUGCACUUACGCCCUACAUCAACCAUAGAUGUGUGAGGAGGACAAAGCAGGAGGACGGGACGAGAACGCCUCUAUCAUGUAGAGUACUUAGGUGAAACGAGUUGUGCUCAUUUGUGUGUAAACAAGAUCAGUGUAAAUGUACAUGAUUAGAUGGCCGAGCUAUAUAGCGUAGGGACAAGAUGGGCACAACAAGUUUGAAGAUGGCAAAAAGGGGCCUUCAGGAGAUGUAUCAAGGAUUGCAGCGAAUAAUAUCCUGUCGAUUGGAGUCCACUUGCUGGAUAUUGAGAAAAUAAGUCGUCUUGCUACACGCCUUUAACGGUGAUUGAUAUGCGCUAACUCACGGACGACCGAUUAUUGCAGGUGGUGUUAGUGUGCGAAGUGGUGACUGGUUCUACUCGAUUGACUGAAGGAAUCCUAUAUUUUUUUAUCUCCAAUAGCAAAUGGCCAGGUCACGAAAUCCAACCAAAGGCAUGAAUGUUGCAUGUGGACACGAGGAGAUAGAGCCUAUCAGAGGUGCCUCUCUAGGGUCGUCCAGCCACCAAUGGUGAAAGCAAGCUACAAGACCAGCCCGCUCCUCCUAUGGAUGCAGUGGACAUCAUUGGACAAAUUCACACAAGCUCCUAUGCUUGGGCCCUGAGUUCUCUCCUGUCACAACUUUCGCUUAUGACUGGCCAGAGAAUCUACUGGUGCAUACAUGGUUUCAUCAAAGCCUCCCAUGGUUGCACCUUCCAUUUCUUCUGGUAAU